GUGUGUGUGUGUGUGUGUGUGUAUGUGUAUGUGACGUAAUAUUUUUUCCAAUGUAAGUUUUGUGUGAAGAGAGGUAUGUGAAGUAAUAUUUGUUCCAAAGUAAGUUUUUGUGUGGUAUAUCGGUUAUUGAGCACACGAGCAUGCACACCCAUGUCUGAUAUGAUCCAUUAUAAUUACAACCGUUUUGCUACACCACUGAUGGAGUUUUGUUGCUUUUAACCUCCAGUAGCAGAUGUAUUUUUGUGCUAGGGUGUCAGUAGCCGAUAUGUUUUUGUGCUGGGGUGUCAAUAGCCGAUAUGUUUUUGUGCUGAGGUUUUAAUAACCGAUAUGUUUUUGCGCUGAGGUGUCAAGCCGAUAUGUUUUUGUGCUGGACUGUCAAUAGCUGAUGUGUUUUUGUGCUGGGGUGUCAAUAGCCGAUAUGUUUUUGUGCUAGGCUGUCAAUAGGCGAUGUGUUUUUGUGCUGGGGUGUCAAUAGCCGAUAUGUUUUUGUGCUGGGGUGUCAAUAGGCGAUAUGUUUUUGUUCUGGGGUAUCAAUAGCCGAUAUGUUUUUGUGCUAGGCUGUCAAUAGCCGAUACGUUUUUGUGCUGGGCUGUCAAUAGCCGAUGUGUUUUUGUGCUGGGGUGUCAAUAGGCGAUGUGUUUUUGCGCUGGAGUGUUAUUGAACACUCAUUCAUUCUUGUUUCUUACAGCAAUGAUGGCGUUGGCAUCUCUUGGCCAAAUGGGCGGUAUGAGAGGUGGCGGCAUGGGCGGUAUGGGAAGAGGGAUGGGAGGCGGUCUAAUGAACGGCAUGAUGCAAAUGAGAAUGCAGCAAAUGAGAUGCAACUUGAUGAUGGACAUAUUCAAGUAGCAUUGCGCAUGAAAAUCACGUGACAGACUGGCAUUCUGGGAGUGGAUGAUCACGUGAUUUCUUUAAACUGUCACUGUACUUUAUUCUCAUUCCACACAUGUUGUUGCUACUGUUAUUGAUUAUAAUCAAAAUAAAAUAAAAUAUUACAAUUUGUA